GUAAGUAGUUGCGAAUGAACACAAACAUGUUCAACCUCAAAAUUGGUGUGCUCCAUGUGUGCACUGACUUGUUUCAGAGUUCAUCACUAUCAAAGCUGCAUGCAAAUGAUUUUUGAAAGGAUACAACAUGGGAUGUGACAUUCAUGUCUGUGUGCUUGCUUUGAUUACAGUGUGUGCUCUAUGAUUCACAUUUCUUGUAACUGAAAUGCAAAUUGCAUGGUAAAGUUCAUGUGAUGUGAUAUGUGUUUGAGAUUCAUGAUGUGCAAGUACCAUGAGGGAAAUGUGAAAAGGACUUUGAAAAGAGAAUUAAACAAAGCCUGCAUUUGCUGAUUGUAAACGUAAGUGAGGAUUGUAAUAGUAAUGUCUCUGCAUCAGUUGACAUGUCUUACGUGUUGUUGUAUGCUUGGCAUUAUGUUCAGCACCACUGAGUGUGCGUACUGGCUUUGAUUGAACUGAUUUCAUGUGGAACUGUUGAAUGAAGAUGCAUGUACACUUGUGUGAAGUAAUGUACGCACCAACUGUGAUCAUGCACUGUUUGCACAUGUUUUCAUGUGCUUCCUUGCUAAUUCUUGAUGUCACUUGGCAUAUUAUAACUACCCUCACUUGACCCGUCUUGAAACACGGACCAAGGAGUCUGGCAAGUGUGCAAACUGACUUUGUGUCAAGACUUGCAUGUAAUGAACAUGACUGUUUCAUGACAUCACCACCAAUCAAUUUUCAGUUUGUUGAUAAUUUGAAUGUGAGCAUUGUUGCUAGGACCCGAAAGAUGGUGAACUAUGCUUGCAUAACAUGAAUUCAGAGGAAACUCUGAUGGAAGUUUGUAUCGGUACUGACGUGCAAAUCGUUCGUCACAA
rnacentral:rRNA from 1 species